UGGGGAAUCUUGCACAAUGGGGGCAACCCUGAUGCAGCGACGCCGCGUGAGCGAUGAAGCCCUUCGGGGUGUAAAGCUCUUUCGUCAGGGAAGAUAAUGACGGUACCUGGAGAAGCAGCUGCGGCUAACUACGUGCCAGCAGCCGCGGUAAUACGUAGGCAGCGAGCGUUGUUCGGAGUUACUGGGCGUAAAGGGUGUGUAGGCGGUUCUUUAAGUUUGGUGUGAAAUCUCCCGGCUCAACCGGGAGGGUGCGCCGAAUACUGAGGGACUAGAGUGCGGGAGAGGAAAGUGGAAUUCCUGGUGUAGCGGUGAAAUGCGUAGAUAUCAGGAGGAACACCGGUGGUGUAGACGGCUUUCUGGACCGUAACUGACGCUGAGACACGAAAGCGUGGGUAGCAAACAGGAUUAGAUACCCCCGUAGUCC
rnacentral:rRNA from 1 species